CGGCGAGUGAAGCGGCAACAGCUCAAAUUUGAAAUCUGGCCUCGGCCCGAGUUGUAAUUUGCAGAGGAUGCUUCUGGCGCGGUGCCUUCCGAGUUCCCUGGAACGGGACGCCACAGAGGGUGAGAGCCCCGUAUGGUCGGACACCAAGCCUGUGUGAAGCUCCUUCGACGACUUCGAGUAGUUUGGGAAUGCUGCUCUAAAUGGGAGGUAAAUCUCUUCUAAAGCUAAAUACCCUCUCAGAGACCGAUAGCGCACAACGUAGAGUGAUCGAAAGAUGAAAAGCACCUUGAAAAGGGGGUUAAAUAGUACGUGAAAUUGUUGAAAGGGAAGCACUUGUGACCAGACUUGGGCCGGGCGGCUCAUCAGGGGUUCUCCCCUGUGCACUCCGCCCGGCACAGGCCAGCAUCGGUUCUCGUGGGGGGAUAAGACCGUCAGGAACGUAGCACCCUCCGGGGUGUGUUAUAGCCUGGCGGACGAUACCCCCGUGGGGACGAGGUCGCGCUCCGCAAGGAUGCUGCUAAUGGUCACCA
rnacentral:rRNA from 1 species